rnacentral:siRNA from 1 species
CGAAAGUUAAACUCCAGGUUCCC